rnacentral:snRNA from 1 species
AACAUUGCGCAGAGGCUAUCGGGUGCGAUUAUUGCUAGUUGAAAACUUUACCAAUACCCCGCCGAGUGGACGUGAAAUACCGUCCGCUACGGCAAUUUUUGUACAGCCGUUGAGGC